rnacentral:rRNA from 1 species
CGGUGUUUAGCUGGCGUGAUGUGGGACGUCCUACCGGUGGGCUUAGCCUCGCGAGGGGCGGCCCAACUAAUAUCCCGUCGCGGUGCUCUUUACUGAGUGUCGAGUCGGGCCGGUACGUUUACUUUGAACAAAUUAGAGUGCUUAAAGCAGGCUAUCCUCGCCUGAAUACUGCGUGCAUGGAAUAAUGGAAUAGGACCUCGGUUCUAUUUUGUUGGUUUUCGGAACCCCGAGGUAAUGAUUAAUAGGGACAGAUGGGGGCAUUCGUAUUGCGACGUUAGAGGUGAAAUUCUUGGAUCGUCGCAAGACGGACAGAAGCGAAAGCAUUUGCCAAAAAUGUUUUCAUUAAUCAAGAACGAAAGUUAGAGGUUCGAAGGCGAUCAGAUACCGCCCUAGUUCUAACCAUAAACGAUGCCAGCUAGCGAUCCGCCGAAGUUCCUCCGAUGACUCGGCGGGCAGCUUCCGGGAAACCAAAGCUUUUGGGUUCCGGGGGAAGUAUGGUUGCAAAGCUGAAACUUAAAGGAAUUGACGGAAGGGCACCACCAGGAGUGGAGCCUGCGGCUUAAUUUGACUCAACACGGGAAACCUCACCAGGCCCAGACACCGGAAGGAUUGACAGAUUGAUAGCUCUUUCUUGAUUCGGUGGGUGGUGGUGCAUGGCCGUUCUUAGUUGGUGGAGCGAUUUGUCUGGUUAAUUCCGAUAACGAACGAGACUCUAGCCUGCUAAAUAGGCGUACCUUAUGGUAUCGCGAAGGCCCCCGGCUUCGGCCGGCGGGUUUUUACUACCAACGUACAAACAAAUCUUCUUAGAGGGACAGGCGG